UACGAAGGGGGCUAGCGUUGCUCGGAAUCACUGGGCGUAAAGCGCACGUAGGCGGCUUUUUAAGUCAGGGGUGAAAUCCUGGAGCUCAACUCCAGAACUGCCUUUGAUACUGGGAAGCUUGAGUCCGGGAGAGGUGAGUGGAACUCCGAGUGUAGAGGUGAAAUUCGUAGAUAUUCGGAAGAACACCAGUGGCGAAGGCGGCUCACUGGCCCGGUACUAACGCUGAGGUGCGAAAGCGUGGGGAGCAAACAGG
rnacentral:rRNA from 1 species